CAGAUAUUUCCAUCAGCAGAAGUUUUUCUUAAGGAAAGGACAACAACAGAAAUACACCAAGCACGAUUAUGAAGAAAUUUUUUUUUAUUUUUUUUUAAAGAGACCAAGGAUUCCAGCUCUCCAAACUCAAGCAAUCUCUCAGAAUCCUAUAUGUCUACAAAGGAGAUCGUAAACAUAAACCCAAAACCUUUCUCAUGUUCUGAAUGUGGAAAAUGUUUUUGCUGGCAGUCAGAAAUUGUAAUACAUCAGAGAACUCACACAGGAGAGAAACCUUUAUCAUGUGCUGAAUGUGGGAAAUGUUUUAGCCAGCACUCAAAUCUUGUUAAACAUCAGAGAACUCACACAGGAGAGAAACCUUUCUCAUGUUCUGAAUGUGGGAAAUACUUUAGACAAAAAACAACUCUAGUUAGACACCAGAGAACUCACACAGGAGAGAAACCUUUCUCAUGUUCCGAAUGUGGAAAAUGUUUUGGCUGGCAGUCCGAAAUUGUAAUACAUCAGAGAACUCACACAGGAGAGAAACCUUUCUCAUGUGCUGAAUGUGGGAAAUGUUUUAGCCAGUGCGCACAUCUUGUUAAACAUCAGAGAAUUCACACAGGAGAGAAACCUUUCUCCUGUUCUGAAUGUGGGAAUUGUUUUAGCACGCAUUCAAAUCUUGUUUCACAUCAGAGAACUCACACAGGAGAGAAACCUUUCUCAUGUUCUGAAUGUGGGAAUUGUUUUAGAACGCAUUCAAAUCUUGUUUCACAUCAGAGAACUCACACAGGAGAGAAACCUUUCUCAUGCUCAGAAUGUGGGAACUGUUUUAGUGGGCAAUCAGAUCUUGUUGCACAUCACAGAACUCACACAGGAGAGAAACCUUUCUCAUGUUCUGAAUGUGGGAAAUGUUUUAGACAAAGCACAACUCUAGUUAGACACCAGAGAACUCACACAGGAGAGAAACCUUUCUUAUGUGCUGAAUGUGGGAAAUGUUUUAGUGAGCACUCAAAUCUUGUUUCACAUCAGAGAACUCACACAGGAGAGAAACGUUUCUCAUGUUCUGAAUGUGGGAAAUGUUUUAACAGGCAUGCACACCUUGUUUUACACCACAGAACUCACACAGGAGAGAAACCUUUCUCAUGUUUUGAAUGUGGGAAAUGUUUUAGCUAUAACUCAGCUCUAGUUAAACAUCAGAGAACUCACACAGGAGAGUAACCUUUCUCAUGUUCUGAAUGGAGAAAUAGUUUUGUCAAUAAAGCAGAGCUUGUCCGUCAUCAGAGAACCAGAUUUUGUUAAGCAUCAGAUAACUCACAUAGUAGAGUUUGUAUAAUGUGUUUAUGAAUUAACAUGGGAAUAAAACAUCUAAUAUUGUAAAAUGUUCUCAUCCUGACACAAUAAAUAAUACAUGUGACAGUAGCAACCUAUAAAUGAUGCAUUGGUAUUGUGAUUGUGUUAACUCUACAGAGCCACACUUUACUUUUCUUCUCUUUGAUAUUACUAUUAAAUUAGAAAACUUCUGUACCUUCCAUGCAAAACGCUUGCUUUCUUUAACCUCUUCCUAGGUACAUCUGACAAAAAAGUGCCUUAUGGUUCUAGUAUGUCCGCCACAUUCCUGCUUACUUACUCGAUCGCCGCCGUUCCCCCGCCACCGAUCAGUGUUGCUCACAGUCUGGGUGGACUGCCUGACAACCCAGACAGUCCCCUCUUGGCAAAUUAGGCCCCCGCUGGCCAUGUGAUUGCUCAG